rnacentral:rRNA from 1 species
UACGGAGGAGGCAAGCGUUAUCCGGAAUGAUUGGGCGUAAAGCGUCCGCAGGUGGCUAUGUAAGUCUGCUGUUAAAGAGCAAAGCUUAACUUUGUAAAAGCAGUGGAAACUACAUAGCUAGAGUGCGUUCGGGGCAGAGGGAAUUCCUGGUGUAGCGGUGAAAUGCGUAGAGAUCAGGAAGAACACCGGUGGCGAAGGCGCUCUGCUAGGCCGCAACUGACACUGAGGGACGAAAGCUAGGGGAGCGAAUGGG